CUGCUCUAUGACAGACAGGAAGUCGGCCAUUUUGGAUCAAAAAUUCGCCACUUCAUUCGCAGCGUGUUUUCAAAACGCUACUAGUCUCAGGUUUUUGGUCCAAAUGAGCUCAGAUUUCACAUGCCACAUCCAGACACAUGGGUUUUCAGAAGUUAUCCACGUUUUCUCCAAAUUCCACACGGUUCGCCCGUACGCCGCCACCGAAAUACGCCUUCGUUUCCUGUUUUUUCGAUGUCCUCUCACGACCACAGGCAUUGCCCUACAGAGCUCACAUUCACAUCACAUAUGUGAGAUUGGGGCAUAAAUGGAAUGCAGUAUUAAUUUUAAUCAAAAUGAACACUAUAGCGCCCCCUACCAUAGGGGUGAAACGCAAACAUUAUCGGAUUCCUACGAAAUUCGGGGAAUAAAUUGGGGGCAUGACGUGGACCAAAAAAUAAUAUUACGGGCAUAGGUCAUUUUUCAUACUUGGCCACCAGGGGCGCAAAGACUCCAAAAAAAAUCAUUUAAAAAUGUCUGACACGCACAUGCAUUGGUCUACACAGCUCAAAUUCACAUCACACGUGUGAUAUGAGGGUAUUAAUAAAAUAAAUUAUUAAUUGUAAUAAAAAUUAACACUAUAGCGGCCCCUAUCAUAGGGGUGAAACGCCAAUAUUAUCGGAUUCCUACAAAAUUCGGGGAAUAAAUCAGGGGCAUCAGAAGAAACAAAAAAUUACAUUAUGGCCAUGAGUCAUUUUCCACGGUUGGCCACCAGGGGCGCAAAUACUAAAAAAAAAAAUCAUAAAAAAAUUUCUGACACGCACAUGCAUUGGUCUACACAGCUCAAAUUGACAUCACACGUGUGAUGUGAGGGUAUUAAUAAAAUGCACUAUUAAUUGUUAUCUAAAUGAACACUAUAGCGCCCCCUACAGUAUUGGUAAAAUACACAACUUUGUCCGAUUGGCAUGAAACUUGGGGAGAUAAUUGUGGGCAUUAAAAGGGUCAAAAAAGUCCAUUACACCAUACCUGUAUUAUGUACGUGGUUGCCGGUGCAAAGCCACAGACCCCUCUCAUAUAGAGUCAGGGCCACACAGCUCAGGGCCACACUGCAUAUUAACAUUGUUCUUCGUUUUUCUGCCAAAACAAUCGCAUUUUUCACCCCCUGAACAUUCACGAAAAGUCUCACAUGGGGGUAUAGAAUCGACCGGCUCAGCGAAAAAUUUCAUAAAAUUGGUGUCGGGAAAAUGUCCCAUGCCCCCUGACUCGACAGCGCCACCUAAAAAUUCACCCCUAUGGGAGAGGAGCCUGGUUUAUUUUGGAAAACACACACAAAAAUCAGAACAGUGACAGAGGAUGGGGGGACAAGCAUAAAUAUGAAUUGAAGCACUGCUCUAUGACAGACAGGAAGUCGGCCAUUUUGGAUCAAAAAUUCGCCACUUCCUUCGCAGCGUGUUUUCAAAACGCUACUAGUCUCAGGUUUUUGGUCCAAAUGAGCUCAGAUUUCACAUGCCACAUCCACACACAUGGGUUUUCAAAAGUUAUCCACGUUUUCUCCGAAUUCCACACGGUUCGCCCGUACGCCGCCGCCAAAAUACGCCUUCGUUUCCUGUUUUUUCGAUGUCCUCUCACGACCACAGGCAUUGCCCUACAGAGCUC
ensembl:lncRNA